rnacentral:sRNA from 1 species
AUCUCUGGAGGAUCCUGAUUAGUGUGCGAAUUUUAAACACUUGGGACAUGGUGCUGUUCUUCUAGAGAGAGAGAACUGCAAUUUUGCUCCAUUUUCGACUUCAAACCCCUUUGUCGGAUUAAUUUUGCGGUGUCCGCUCCCCCGCCUGCGCAGCCAGGUGUAGUAGACCCGGCGAUGACGCAGUGGAAAACGCGAUAAACAAGAAGCCGCCGACAGCUGGUGGUUGCUUGGUCUCAGCCCUACUGAUAGACAGAUAGUGAGAUAUCUUAUCAAGAUGCCAACCAAGGCUAGGCAGAUACCCGGACAGAGACCAAUCCCUCAGGGCUUGCUUGCCCGAUAAAAUCAACAUGGAAUUCUAUGCAAAAUAGCUCAAUGUGUACUCUGUAUCUAAUGAAACAAUGAAAAUGCAA